rnacentral:rRNA from 1 species
UACGUAGGGUGCGAGCGUUAAUCGGAAUUACUGGGCGUAAAGCGUGCGCAGGCGGUUCGUUAAGUUCGUUGUGAAAGCCCCGGGCUCAACCUGGGAACUGCCUUUGUGACUGCAUGACUAGAGUACGGUAGAGGGGGAUGGAAUUCCGCGUGUAGCAGUGAAAUGCGUAGAUAUGCGGAGGAACACCGAUGGCGAAGGCAAUCCCCUGGACCUGUACUGACGCUCAUGCACGAAAGCGUGGGGAGCAAACAGG